rnacentral:rRNA from 1 species
AACGCCGCGUAAGCGAAGAAGGCCUUCGGGUCGUAAAGCUCUGUUGUUAGGGAAGAACAAGUAUCGGAGUAACUGCCGGUACCUUGACGGUACCUAACCAGAAAGCCACGGCUAACUACGUGCCAGCAGCCGCGGUAAUACGUAGGUGGCAAGCGUUGUCCGGAAUUAUUGGGCGUAAAGCGCGCGCAGGCGGUCCUUUAAGUCUGAUGUGAAAGCCCACGGCUCAACCGUGGAGGGUCAUUGGAAACUGGGGGACUUGAGUGCAGAAGAGGAGAGUGGAAUUCCACGUGUAGCGGUGAAAUGCGUAGAGAUGUGGAGGAACACCAGUGGCGAAGGCGACUCUCUGGUCUGUAACUGACGCUGAGGCGCGAAAGCGUGGGGAGCAAACAGGAUUAGAUACCCUGGUAGUCCACGCCGUAAACGAUGAGUGCUAAGUGUUAGAGGGUUUCCGCCCUUUAGUGCUGCAGCUAACGCAUUAAGCACUCCGCCUGGGGAGUACGGCCGCAAGGCUG